AGCCCAUAUUAUCAGGUCCGGACGCCCGGCUCAUUAGGGUUCCUCACCCAACUAUAAAUACUACUCCUCUUCCCCCACCUCCCUCGUCAGGGCUGAUUUGGUGGUUAGGGAUCCCUAGAGGAUCCAUGGGGGAGAAAUCCCCUUGCAAUUCAAUUUUGAAUAGCAAGAGGAUUUCUUCCCCCAGGGAUCCCCGGUCACCAAAUCAGCCCUCAGUGUCAACUCCUCCUCUCCGCCGCCAACAGCUGCGGGGAGCUCGCCAGUCGCCACUUCGCCAGAAUGGUUGCCCACACGGUGGCUUCUCCUCGCUUUGUUCCUCCUACCGGCGUGGCUGCUGAUCUCGGCCGCUUUUGUGUAAUUUGUUUGGAUCCCGCAGUUGCAUCAGUGCCAGGCAGUGGGUCGCGCGCUGCCAGUCCCCGCUGAUGAGCACCCCAAGAUCUACCGCAUGGAGCUUGCGCUACCAACGAGAUCUGCUCCAAAUCCAAGCUCUGGUACUAUCUGAGGAAGCUCAAGUCUCAAGAAGGUUUAAGAGCAACGGUCAGAUUCUCGCCAUAGACGAGAUCUGAGUGUAACCCUACAAAAAUCAAGAACUGUGGCAUCUGGCUGUGUUACCAGUGCAGGACAGGUUACCACGACCUGCACAAGGAGUACCGUAAUACCAUCCUGAAUGGUGCCAUGGAGCAGAUGUACAAUGAGACGGCUUCCUGUUUGUCACCCUACGUACAGAUCAUCAAGACGGCAACAAUCAACUUUAAGCUUUGCAAGAGGGACAACACCAAGCAGUUCCACAAUUCAAAGUUCAAGUUUCCUUUGGUUUACUGCAACAAGUCAGGCCACAAAAUAGGUAGCUGAAGACCACCUUCAAGGCUUUAAGGCCCAACUUGUUCGUGUUAUCCAACUUACCCUGACACCAUCCCAAAUCUGUCAGGCUGUCAGUCUGGUGGUUUGCUAGUUCAGCGUAAUGCAAUCUACAUGCAACCUAUUGUUUCUAAGUUCUAGUUGGAGGUCCACGAAAGGGUUCUUAGUGUGAUGGCAAAGGCUUCUGAGUAGCACCCUAGUGACCGGGGUCUGGUGGGUUGCUAGUUCAGGGUAACUCAAUCUACAUGCAACCUAUUGUUUCUAAGUUCUAGUUGGAGGUCCACGAAAGGGCUCUUAGUGUGAUUGCCAAGGCUUCCGAGUAGCACCCUAUCGACCUGGGUUAUGACUCCCAGUGGAAGUGGAUUUAUGUGGACUGGGUAAAAAAAUCCCUUUGUCUGACCAUACGUCAAAGCACGAUUUAAUGCCUGUCCCAUACUCACAUAGGCAAUGUGGUUGUCGUGUAAGGCGUGGGAAAGUAGGUUUAAGGGUUCUCUUAGGCAAUGCCUGGGGGCCUAUCCCAUCCUCAUUUCUUUUUGUUCUUUACCGUCUGGUGCCUUAUAAAUUAUAUAAUAGCAUGUACAAAUCUCAUGUGCUUUAAACUUAUCCAAAAAAGAGCAGACCUGUUACUGGAGGGAUCUGGACGGGGGAUAAAUGGAGGCAAUGGCGACUUAGUGAGACAGCUCUCACCACUGCAUUAUGCCUGCUUUAAACUUCACUCAAAUGUCAAAACUGGUGUUUGCUUAUGGCUAUGUGCUGCGGUCUUCCUUGUGCCAAGUCAGAUGCAACAUGAUCUGGUCAAAGUUGCUUUUUAUUCUGUACCCCUAAUUGCUUUUUAAUUUGCAAUGCUCUUUAAGAUUUUCUAGUUUGGUGUGUUUAAAUUGUGAUGUUUUACAUUUAUCAAACUGUUUCAUUACUUUGUAGGGCAACUUUGCCAAGGUUACCAACUAUAAAUUUGGUUUCCUUUUUUUCCCUGUUGCCAAUACCACUGUUGCUACUGGAUGUUUGAACUUUCCAGUCCAUGAGCUAUUUUAUUUGGUUUCAUGGAUAAUCAUCCUUGCCAACAUUCUUUACUAAAAAACAUUCUACUUCCAAAGCUGUAUAAAACUUCUAGUGGUUUGAAUUCUCAUGUAAUCUUCCAUGCUGCAGCAUAAUCUGUUUCAUUUU